rnacentral:rRNA from 1 species
UACGGAGGGUGCGAGCGUUGUUCGGAAUUAUUGGGCGUAAAGCGCACGUAGGCGGCUCUUUAAGUCUCACUGUGAAAGCCUGCGGCUCAACCGCAGGAGGCCAGGGGAUACUGGAGGGCUGGAGAUAGGUAGAGGCGAGCGGAAUUCCGGGUGUAGCGGUGGAAUGCGUAGAGAUCCGGAAGAACACCAGAGGCGAAGGCGGCUCGCUGGACCUCAUCUGACGCUGAGGUGCGAAAGCGUGGGGAGCGAACAGGAUUAGAUACCCCCGUAGUCC